CGCACUCGCUCCGGCGCGGCCUCCGCGCCCACCACCACCCCGCCCAGCGCCUCGCCUCCCCACAGGUACCCCCCUCUCGGCGCCCAUGCCGAUGCCUGUGUCUAGGAGCCCCACCACCAGCGCCUCGUUGUAGUCCGCGCCCACCGGCGAACUCCGGCCACGCCAGCACCGGGACGCCCGCCGCCGCCGCCUCGGUCACCGCUGGGAAGCCCCUUUCUGCUGCUGCGGCCAUCGCUGCCCUCGAUACUCCUCAACGUCGUGCCGUCGGAGCCGCACAAGUGGGACCUCCGGCCCUUCUCCGCCGCCCUCGCAUCUACGCCCGAGUCUCCCAGACGACGGCAAGACCAAGCACAAGGAGUAAUUAGCUUGUGGGUUCGUACACGCAGAGUAUCUGAAGAAAUCAAAGGACAACAAAGAAAAGAGUGAAUACUGAAUAGUUCAUUGGCUGUGAAGGCUGAAGUAAAUGUCUCAUGACUGAAAAAGGAAGUGAAUCUUUGUGCUAGUUGCAGGCUGAACCUAAAGUUCAGAGAUUCAGAGAUUGGUUUUCAGGUGCUGAUUCCAAAAGAUUUAAUUACACUCUCUUGAAUCCAGUACAUUGCUAGAUCAAUCAGGCCAGACAAUGAUGCUCCUUGAUGUUUCAAUCGUCUUCAUACAGAAUUCACCAUUUCAACUCCUAUAGCUACAGAG